CUAUUUUCUGCUAAACCUCGACAAUCACCCUAUGUGUUCCAUUUUCCUUUCGUCCCUUCCAGAAUCCAUGAACAGACGGGUUUCGACUCGCUGAGCUUAAUUCGAAAUUUUUAACUUGAGUUAGCUUUUUCGUUUCCUUGAAAGCGAAAGGCAAUGUCAUCGGUGACGCUUCGAGUUUCAUUUUCUCUUCAUUUCCUCAGUUCUCUCAGCGCCCGAACAGAGGAGUGUGGCAAUUUCGCGGACUCUCAAGCCUGAAAUCAAGCUGAGAUGGUAAUGCCGUGCCACUUCACUAGUAUCAAAAAGCCAGCCUUUUCCAGCUGUCAUACACUAAGCUUCAGGCAGGGAAGAUUAUGGCAGAGAAAAGGAAAAGGCACGAGCAAGAGAAAGAAGGAAAAGUAAAGUAAAGGCCAAAGAAAACAGUGAUGAUGGUGUUGUCGAAAAAGUGUCGAGUGAAGAAAUGAAGAAGGUAAAAAGGUAUAUAAAAUGGAAAAAUAUAGUUGCAAACAGUAUUAAUUUGUACAUUAAUUUAAUGUAAUUGGUUAAAAAGUAAAUUUUUUUAAAAACAGUAUUAAUUUAAAUUUUAAGUAUGAAUGAAUCAGUAUUAAUAUGCAGAUUAGUACGCGAUUUUGCUUGUAUGUAAUAAAAUUCAUAUAAAAUUCGUGUAUAUAGUAUUUACC